rnacentral:lncRNA from 1 species
GUUCAUAUAAUUUGCUUCUUAAGAAUGGUUCUGGGUUUAUUGGGAACUAUUGUCGGGCUACUUUUCAGUCAAAAAAUCAUAUUCUCUCUAAAAACAAAUCCCUUAUUUUAAUUUUCUCCUGGUGCUGCAAAAAAGAGACAUAUUGCCAUUAUUAACUAUAAGUGUCAGGGAUCAAACAAAGCAACCAGCAAUUCACAUACCUCAUACACUGAGACUGCAGAAAGUUAAACAUGCUUUGUACAAACCCAUGUGAGAUUGCAGCUGUGAGCUUUCAGCAGCUUGAGCAACUGUCAAGAAUAAAUACUGCAGCCCUGCCAAGAAUAUGAUAACUUCCCUAAUUAUAAAAGCACAUGAAUGCUGUGGGAUCCUUGGCAAUGGAACAGUGGACUGAAGUACCUUUUCGCUUGGGAUCAUCAGACACCUGCUUGUGUUGGCCUCAGAGCCCCUACAGAUCAUGCAAGAUGACCAAGAACUUACACAACCUCACAGCAAGCCAUUGCAAGCCCAUAUCUGACUUGAAAGCUCAUUGCAGGCUUAACCAAAAGCCGCCAAGAACAUGGCCACUUGACAACAGCCUGCUGGAGCUCCCUCAGUUUACACAUCGCGCACAAUCCUCCUAUUAAUCCUCCAGAGGAGCCGACCCCCAGAUGUGGAAGUGUUUAUGUAGGGCAGUCAUCACAAGCUGCAUGGACAGCCCAUGAGCCCUGAGAGAGGAGCCUCGCAAACUUCAUUCCAUAGCUCGCCCCUGAUCUUCCUGCUGCGCUGUGCCUGCAGGAGCUACUCCUCUGGAGCUGUUUCUCUUUGAUUUCAUGACUUUACAUUUACAUUUGCAGUACUCAGAUGUGUAGAUCCAAAUAUCGCUUGUUUUGGCCCCAUGUAGAGCUAGUUUUAGAAUUUAUGUUUUUAAUUUGGACCUGGACUGGACUGCAAACAUACACAAGCUUUCAGGUUGUGCUUUCUGAAAUCAGCUUCUAACACACCUGAAUUUGCUACUUAUAAUAUUAGAUACCUUCUCUAACAUUUAAUACAUUUUUUUGGGGUCAUAAUACUCCUCAA